rnacentral:lncRNA from 1 species
UGUGAUUGGGAAUAUACUGGCACACAGUGAAGCAAAACAGAUUUGAUUUCAUUGAAUGUGGUAAUCCUGAAAGUUCUCUGUAAAUAACUCUGAGCUGAAGCAUUCUGGUUUCCAUAACAACUCUGUGUACUUGUUCCCUGGCGGUAUUUCUAAUCCUGCUACCGGGUACAGAACAAUGCCCACUUGGAGAUGAAUGCGUAGGCAAAUGACUGUGGUUUCCCCUUUCCGUCUCUGUGUAAUAGAAUCAACCCAAUAACAACACGUUAUUUGGACCAGAAUGAAACUGUUAGAAUCCUUUCUCUCUGGCCUGAAGGAAAAUAUGACUUUGUGGUUUGAUCUGUAACAUGCAACUUAGUGACUGUGAGUGAAUCAUCUUCUUCCUCUAAUGUGACUGAGUGGCAGAGAAAGCUGAGAAAGAAUGAAACAGACAUACGAAGAGGAGCACAGGACAUAGAGGGCACUCCCAUAGUUUCUGUUGCCCUUGAAUUGUUCAUCUUCCUUUGGAACAAGAUAAGGAUAUCCAUUAUCAGCACAAUUGUUUAAUGUUGUUGCCAAGAUAUUAGCCAAAAUGUUUUGGCAAGAGAAAUAAACCAUGUACCAAUAUGGAAAAAUCUCCAAGGCAUAUGAUUAGGUAAAAAAAAAGUAAGGUGCAAAACAGAAUGUGUCAUAUACUACAGUUUGAGGAAGAAAGAGGGAAAUCAUAUCUAUAGACAUGAUAUACAAUAUAGAUAGUUUGCAUCAACCUCAAAAUCCCUGGAAUUAUACUCAGGAAACUAGAAUCAUUGGUGCCUGUAGAGAGAAGACU